UACGUAGGGUGCAAGCGUUGUCCGGAAUUAUUGGGCGUAAAGAGCUCGUAGGCGGUUAGUCGCGUCUGCUGUGAAAACUCGGGGCUUAACUCCGGGCCUGCAGUGGGUACGGGCUGACUAGAGUGCGGUAGGGGAGACUGGAAUUCCUGGUGUAGCGGUGAAAUGCGCAGAUAUCAGGGAGGAACACCGGUGGCGGAAGGCGGGUCUCUGGGCCGUAACUGACGCUGGAGGAGCGAAAGCCGUGGGGAGCGAACAGG
rnacentral:rRNA from 1 species